GGCGGCCAUCCGUGACCCCGGUCUACCACCGGGAUGUUCAUAACCCUUUGUUGUCCGACUCUGUUGCCUCCGGGGCGACCCUGCCUUCGGGCGGGGGCUCCGGGUGGACACUUCAAACUCUUGCGUAACUUUGCAGUCUGAGUAAACUUAAUUAAUAAAUUAAAACUUUUAACAACGGAUCUCUUGGUUCUGGCAUCGAUGAAGAACGCAGCGAAAUGCGAUAAGUAAUGUGAAUUGCAGAAUUCAGUGAAUCAUCGAAUCUUUGAACGCACAUUGCGCCCCCUGGUAUUCCGGGGGGCAUGCCUGUUCGAGCGUCAUUUCACCACUCAAGCCUCGCUUGGUAUUGGGCAACGCGGUCCGCCGCGUGCCUCAAAUCGACCGGCUGGGUCUUCUGUCCCCUAAGCGUUGUGGAAACUAUUCGCUAAAGGGUGCUCGGGAGGCUACGCCGUAAAACAAACCCAUUUCUAAGGUUGACCUCGGAUCAGGUAGGGAUACCCGCUGAACUUAAGCAUAUCAAUAAAGCGGAGGAA
rnacentral:rRNA from 2 species